CAUGAUCUUCCGGCACUCCUCUGUCUCAGGCGAGUCGCCCCAGUUCGCCAUCGCAGCCCCGGACGUGCGCCUCCCGCGGAGCCGCUCGCUCGCCUGAGUCGGAGUCGGGAACCCGGCGUCCGUUGCCAUGGCGACUCCCCGGCUUCCCCACAAGGCGCCCACAGCCUGGAGGCUGCUGAGAUACCCCAGAGGAAAGCUGCACCCCUGUAAAUAACCCUUCAGCCUCCCGCCGUGCCCCUGGACCCUGCUUGCUUCCUCCUCUACCCAGGCGCGGAGCUCAGCCUACCUCGUGGACCCGCGCAUUUGCCGGGGCUUGGAUUCCCGAGCUUCUCGCUUCCUACGCGCGCAGCAGACCCGCAGCUCGGUGGCCUUGGCUUUCAUGGCCUCCCAGCGUGUGCCAAAGGUCCCCCUCAAGGAGGAGGAAAAGCAGUGAACCCAUCUAAUAACUAUGCUCAUGACAUAAUGAGCCCUGCGAUCCCGGACCAAGGCCAUCAUAAGAGGAGAGCAGGCUGCCUAAUAAGCUGUCUCCACCUGCCACAAACGUAGGCGUUCCUGGACAAAAUAUUUCCUUGAAGAGAUUAAACAGAUUUCUAUUUAAUGAGGUCAGAAUGUGAGGCGUUAAGUCUUAAACUAUACCAUCUAGUGUGGAAUUCAAUUUUACCAGGUUUCUACAAUAAUAAGAGUUUAUAGUGAAACUGUUGUCAUCCUUAGUUUUAAAUUAUGUAUCACUCAUUGUCAACUAAUAGGAGACACCUAUUCUAAUAUCAGUAUGUCAUUGCCAUUGUUUUUCUGUAAACGACUGGCUAAAUUUAUUUUUAAAAUGUUAUUGUCUGGUUUAGAACUGUCUAUACUACAUCUGCAUUUCAAUAUAUUAUCUACAGAAAAAUAAGUUUUUUCUUCUCUCUCUUAUUAUUAUUAUUAUUUUUUUUUGGAGCCGGAGUCUCGCUCUGUCGCCCAGGCUGGAGUGCAGUGGCGCGAUCUGGGCUCACUGCAACCUCCGCCUCCCGGGUUCAAGCAAUUCUCCUGCUUCAGCCUCCCUAGCAGCUGGGACUACAGGCACACAGCACCAAGCCAGGCUAAUUUUUUGUAUUUUUAGUAGAGACGGGGUUUCACCGCGUUGCCCAGGCUGGUCUAACUCCUGAGCUCAGGCAAUCUGCCCCCCUCGGCCUCCCAAAGUGCUAGAUAACAGGCGUGAGCCACAGAGCCCGGCCUCUUCUCUGUCUUGUAACAGUAAGUGAAAAGAACUUAGCUGGAUUUAGAAGCUCAAAAUAGGAAAAGAAAAGCACUGUAGCAUUAUCACUACUAUUAUGUUUAAAGACAAAGAUUAAAAGCCCCAAAUGCCAAUAAAACAUCAUAACCAAUGCCAAAA